GGUCCGAUGCCACGUCGACGGUAGCCAACGAGCAUUGACCGGCGAUGCUAUGAUUGGACCAAAAUCAAAAAAACUAUUUUUGUUUCGCAUUUAGAUAGGAAUCUGUGGAUCGAUUCAAUGCUGUUCGUCCAUGGUGCCGGUUUGUGCGAUUACAGUU